rnacentral:siRNA from 1 species
GGAUCUUUGGGUUCCCUAUACACC